rnacentral:tRNA from 1 species
GGGCGAUUAGCUCAGCUGGUUAGAGCGCUAUCUUCACAUGGUAGAAGUCGGGGGUUCAAGUCCCUCAUCGCCCACCA